rnacentral:rRNA from 1 species
GACGAACGCUGGCGGCGUGCCUAAUACAUGCAAGUCGAACGCUGAAGGAGGAGCUUGCUUCUCUGGAUGAGUUGCGAACGGGUGAGUAACGCGUAGGUAACCUGCCUGGUAGCGGGGGAUAACUAUUGGAAACGAUAGCUAAUACCGCAUAAUAGUAGAUGUUGCAUGACAUUUGCUUAAAAGGUGCAAUUGCAUCACUACCAGAUGGACCUGCGUUGUAUUAGCUAGUUGGUGGGGUAACGGCUCACCAAGGCGACGAUACAUAGCCGACCUGAGAGGGUGAUCGGCCACACUGGGACUGAGACACGGCCCAGACUCCUACGGGAGGCAGCAGUAGGGAAUCUUCGGCAAUGGACGGAAGUCUGACCGAGCAACGCCGCGUGAGUGAAGAAGGUUGUCGGAUCGUAAAGCUCGGUUGUAAGAGAAGAACGAGUGUGAGAGUGGAAAGUUCACACUGUGACGGUAGCUUACCAGAAAGGGACGGCUAACUACGUG